CAUUGUCGAAACCUGCAUAGCAGAGCAACAUGCGAACUUGUCUUUUCAACCUUCCUUUCCGUGUGGCGGGUCAGACGACUCGUGCUUCCUCCGCCUUGCGGGAUGAACAACUUUCGGCGCGGGUUGCGCCAAGGACCAUGAACGUUAUGCCUCGCCUCUUUGCGCCGUUAGGCUGCGUUGAGGAGUCACAUCAUUGAAAAAUAUCAAUUUAAUGACUCUUGACAAAGGAUAUCUCGGCUCUCGCAUCGAUGAAGAACGUAGCGAAAUGCGAUACUUGGUGUGAAUUGCAGAAUCCUGUGAACCAUUGAGUCUUUGAACGCAAGUUGCGCCCGAAGCCUUUUGGCCAAGGGCACGUCUGCCUGGGUGUCACGCAUAGCGUCGCCCCUACCUCCCAACUCGUGUUUGGAUAUGUGUGGGGCGGAGAGUGGUCUCCCGUGUGCCUUGCCCACAUGGAUGGCCGAAAUAAGGAGCUUGCGGCGGUGAGCGCCGUGAUGAUUGGUGGUUGGAUGGG
rnacentral:sRNA from 1 species